rfam:Schistosoma mansoni, Puerto Rico, WGS project CABG01000000 data, contig: 0481
ACCCAUCUGACGAGUCCCAAGUUGGACGAAACGCACAUCCUGGAU